CAUUUGUUGCGACUCAUUUUGGUCUUUUAAGUAAGUUUCCUUCCCCUGCAUUACUUGAUCGCUUUUGUAAAAAAUAAACAGCACAACAACAACAGCACUCGACGUCAGUAUUGUACCAAAAAAUGAAAAAAAUAUUCAAAAAGAAGGCUCAUAAAAUUCAAAUAUUGGACAAGAACUAUAGAAGAUGCAGAGAAAUUAUAAACAGCAGAAAUGAUAGGCAAUUUAAAAUUUGCAGAAGUCAACAAAAACUAAAUGGUGAUCAGACAUCUUGGUUUUCAUGAUCAAUAGGUCAAUACUGAAGAGGAAACUGAAAGUUGAUAUCUAUCUACAUGGUGCGCUAAUUGGAUUAAUGUGAAAUGGAAUGUGUGCUUUCCUGCAAAAAAGAAAUAGGAAAUUUCAUCAUAAUCACAUGAUAAUGGCUAUAAACAAAAUGGAGUUCUAUCAUAGAUGCAGAAAAACACAAUUGUAUAAAUGCAACAACAUA